rnacentral:rRNA from 1 species
AAACUUUCAACAAUGGAUCUCUUGGCUCUCGCAUCGAUGAAGAACGCAGCGAAAUGCGAUAAGUAAUAUGAAUUGCAGAAUUCCGUGAAUCACCAAAUUUUUGAACGCAAAUUGCACUUCUUGGCAUUCCGAGGAGUGCACAUGCUUGAGGGUCAGU